rnacentral:rRNA from 1 species
GACGUAGGGGGCCAGCGUUGUUCGGAAUUACUGGGUGUAAAGGGUUCGUAGGCGGUGUGGCAAGUCGGGAGUGAAAUCUCUGGGCUCAACUCAGAGACUGCUUCCGAAACUGCUGUGCUGGAGUGUGGGAGAGGCGCGUGGAAUUGCAGGUGUAGCGGUGAAAUGCGUAGAUAUCUGGAGGAACACCCGUAGCGAAGGCGGCCGACUGGACCAUACUUGACGCUGAGGCGCGAAGGCCAGGGGAGCGAACGGG